GAGGUGGGACGAUCACUUGAGUCCAGGGAGGUCAAGGCUACAGUGAGUUGUGAUCAUGUCACUGCACUCCAGCCUGAGUGACAGAGCAAGAUCCUGUCUC
ensembl:miRNA